rnacentral:rRNA from 1 species
CCCUUAGAUGUUCUGGGCCGCACGCGCGCUACACUGACUGAUGCAAUGAGCGGUAACCUGAGAGUUCGAGAGUCUUGGGUAAUCUGUGAAGCUCAGUCGUGCUGGGGAUAGAUUCUUGCAAUUAUGGAUCUUCAACGAGGAAUUCCUAGUAAACGCAAGUCAUCAGCUUGCAUUGAUUACGUCCCUGCCCUUUGUACACACCGCCCGUCGCACGUACCGAUUGGAUGGUCCGAUGAACAUUAUGGAGUUGGCCUAUGGUAAAUAAAGUAAUGUAAAUCUUAUCAUCUAGAGGAACGUAAAGUCGUANCA